rnacentral:tRNA from 1 species
UGGGAUUUGGUUGAGUGGUAGAGUGUAUGUCUAGCAUGCAUGGGGCCCUGGGUUCAAUUCUCAGCAUUACAA